GUUGACCUCGAAUCAGGUAGGACUACCCGCUGAACUUAAGCAUAUCAAUAAGCGGAGGA
rnacentral:rRNA from 7 species